rnacentral:lncRNA from 1 species
GUAGCUUCCUGUCUGAUUAGACUUUAUUUCUGUAUUGGAAACAAAUGUGCUGACUGAGACGUGGGUGCAGGGAGUGUGAGGGCUGCUUGUGCUGAGAGGGGAUGGCCAAAACAUCCAGCAAGGAAGAUGAGCUUCAUGAUUCAGGGAGAGGAAGAAGUACUCCAGGGUUGGAAGAACCUUAAAGAGGCACGAUCAGAUUUGCCCACAUUCCUGAAUAAGGGAGAUGCCUAUUUCAACAAUAGUACCUACCAGGGUUAAUACAGACCAAGAAGCCUACUUGUUGCAGGUAAGUUAAAGUAGCUGGUAUUUUGAAAUGACAUUUGGUUCCCACAAGUGUUCUCUCAGUAGUCCACUGUUUGGAGGUUCUUGCAGAAGUAUCUCCAACAUGAUGAUCAUGGGGUCACAUGAGAAGUACUAAACACCGCUGAUGAUGUUCCUGUGUAUUUUUCAGCUUUGAAGGAGGUGACACUUGGAUAAACCCUGGAGAAAAAAAUAAAGAAAAGACUGAAUGAAACCUAGAGGCAAAAGCUAUGGACAAAUGGGUGAAAUAAACAAGCAAUUUUCUUUUUGUUGUUCCUGAAGCCCACUACAUUAGCUCUGGCAGCAUUACCAGAUUUUAAGUCACACUGACCAAAUCAAAUAGGAAAAUCAGAUCGUGAUGAGCCGGACUGGCAUUAUUUCUAAUUUCUUUUAUAAUUUCCUUUGUGGGUCAUGAAUAAUUUAGAACCAUAUAUUUCUUUCCAUUUCUGAACACACAAAAGUAUUUUUGUUUUUUUCUUUUUCUUUGAAAUUGAGUUCUCAUUGCAUUUUGUUGGAGAAUAUAGUCUGCAUGUUUUAUCAAUCAAUUCCUUAAUAUUUAUUGACAUGCCCUUUAUGGUCUGGUAUGUGCUCAGUUUUUGAAAAUAUUCCCUGGAAAAUUGAAAAGAAUUCAGAUUAUUUAAGAGUUGACAUAAAGUUCUAAAUAUGUGAAUUUGACCAAAUGUCUUAAUCAUGCUGUUUAAUUCAGCAACAUCAUUAAUUUUUUGAUCACUUGAUCAAUCAGUCUGUAAUAAUUAAGUAUUAAAAAUUACACUCUAAGAAAUUCAAUUUACCAUAAUUUUAUUGACCUUUACUUUAUAUGAGUAGUUGCUUUUGAAGGUCAAAAAGUGGUCAACUAUUGGCAAUUUCUUAAGGUUUGAUCUAAUAUUUUGGAGCUAUGUUGCUGAUGUUUGUUGGUUCAGGUUUGUAAUAGUUUUCUGACAUAUUGUGUGAUAAGGUUUUUACUUUAAAAUCUAUUUCAUCUGCCAAUUUAUAUGGUUAGAGCAUCUUUAUUUUGAUCAGUAUUUUGAAAAUAUAAUCCACGUAUCUUUCUUCUGAUUAAAUUCUAUUUGGACUAAUGUCUGGCAUAUUAUUAUUAUUUUUUCUAUUUACUAUGA